GACGAACGCUGGCGGCGUGCUUAACACAUGCAAGUCGAACGGAAAGGCCCUGCUUUUGUGGGGUGCUCGAGUGGCGAACGGGUGAGUAACACGUGAGUAACCUGCCCUUGACUUUGGGAUAACUUCAGGAAACUGGGGCUAAUACCGGAUAGGAGCUCCUGCUGCAUGGUGGGGGUUGGAAAGUUUCGGCGGUUGGGGAUGGACUCGCGGCUUAUCAGCUUGUUGGUGGGGUAGUGGCUUACCAAGGCUUUGACGGGUAGCCGGCCUGAGAGGGUGACCGGCCACAUUGGGACUGAGCUACCGACCAGUCUCCUUCGGCCUGCAGCAGUGGGGAAUAUUCCACAAUGGGCGGAGGCCUGAUGCAGCAACGCCGCGUGCGGGAUGACUGCCUUCGGGUUGUACACCGCUUUCGACUGUGACGAAGCGUGUGUGACGGUAAUGGGUAAAGAAGCACCGGCUAACUACGUG
rnacentral:rRNA from 1 species